AUACAUUGAAAGAUGACUGUGUAUUUACUGGUAAUUCUAUACCGUCUAAAAAAAUCCCGAUUCCCAACCCUGUGCCCGGUUGUUCUUCCGACAAA